rnacentral:lncRNA from 1 species
UACAUAGGUCUCUUAGACAUCUUCUCAAGAUUAUGCUAAGAGAAAUGACUGCACCCUUUUCCUGAGCUAUGGCAGUCAGACCUGGCAGUGGUAACUACUCUACAGAACUCCCAAACCUGGCAAGGAUGGUGCAGAUUUUGGCAGAUUAUGGCUUUGUCCCCACCCAGCACUGAUGAUAUUAUAAACAGACCUAUACUACAAGAAAUGAUAAUGGAAGUUCUUCAACUGAGCAAGAAAUGAUAUUAACAGAAAACUUGGAUCUUCAGAAGCAAAUGAAGAACAUCAGAAAUGAAGCAGAAGCUUCAGGACUCCUGAAUUGAGGGAAUGAUCUAAAUUCCAAGGAUUAUCUCUCAGUGAGAACAAGCAACUUUCAUUGUUAGAGAGAGGAGAGAGAGAGAAGCCUUGUUGGUUGACGUCACUUGGUUCAUGAAGCCUUCGCCUAGAAGUGAAGCUGCUGAACAAACCUUGAGAAGAAUCAUCUCCUGCUUCAAUCUGCUGCUGGAUAGGAACUAAUCAGAGAGAGAGAGGCGGAAGACGGAGAAGGAGGGAGUCGAAGGCUUUCCCGAUCACAAAUCUCACCUCCACUACAACUCUCUUUAUACUUUUCUUGCAGAAAUAAUAAUAGAAAUAAGGAGGUGGUGGGGUUUCCAAAAAUCUUAACCUUCAACCAUCUGGGGAAAAGGCAAAAAUCCCAUCUACCGCAACUCUCAGUUCGAGAGUAAAGUUCCUUCGGAUGAAUGCAGAAGACAAGCAGACUGCUGGACUGCCAGUAACGGGCAUAUCCAUAAGGACAAAAAGGAGGGCCAGGCGUGGUGGCUCAUGCCUGUAAUCCCAGCACUUUGGGAGGCCGAGACAGGCAGAUCACUUGAGGCCAGGAGUUUGAGA